rnacentral:rRNA from 1 species
AGAGUUUGAUCCUGGCUCAGGACGAACGCUGGCGGCGUGCCUAACACAUGCAAGUUGAGCGACGAACCAGGGCUUGCCCUGGGGCAAAGCAGCGAACGGGUGAGUAACACGUGGGUAACCUGCCCCGAUGACCGGGACAACCCGAGGAAACUCGGGCUAAUACCGGAUGUGCUCCACACACAUCAGUGUGUGGAGUAAAGGAAGCUUCGGCCUCCGCUUCGGGAGGGGCCCGCGGCCCAUUAGCUAGUUGGUGAGGUAACGGCUCACCAAGGCAACGAUGGGUAGCUGGUCUGAGAGGACGAUCAGCCACACUGGGACUGAGACACGGCCCAGACUCCUACGGGAGGCAGCAGUGGGGAAUCUUGCGCAAUGCGCGAAAGCGUGACGCAGCAACGCCGCGUGGGGGAAGAAGGCCUUCGGGUUGUAAACCCCUUUCAGGAGGGACGAAGGUGCGGCGGCGAAUAGCCGUCCGUAUUGACGGUACCUCCAGAAGAAGCCCCGGCUAACUACGUG